rnacentral:lncRNA from 1 species
UAAACAAAAUUCGAUCUAUGAUGAAACACUUUCCAAAAGCACUCCUUAUUGGAUUCGGACUCGGAUUCGCGGCUGAAAACUAUAACUUGCCGACUCGGUGUAGGACUCGAAGAGGGACUCGGUGUAGGACUCGAUGAGGGACUCGGUGUAGGACUCCAAGAGGGACUCGGUGUAAGACUCGAAGAGGGACUCGGUGUAGGACUCGAUGAGGGACUCGGUGUAGGACUCAAAGAGGGACUCGGUGGAAGAUAUGGUGGCGGCGGAAGAUUAUGGCGGUGGUGUGGCAGGAAGUUUGGCGGCGGAAGAUUGAUGAAGGAAACCUGCGUCACACGAAGAACAAGAAAACCAAAAGCAAGUUCGAUCUAGUAGAAAAAAAUCUGAAAAACGAUCCAAUCUAAUCCAGCAACUCGACACGAUUAAUGCAGCAAAGAUUCAACAAUGCAAAUACUAAUGUGAAAAUUGCAAGGCUCAGAUUGGUUCUAGGACAAGGUAACUAAUUCUAAUUUUUGUUUGGCUUUUUCUGGACGAUAGGUAAAAGCAGAUCUAAACAACGGAUAAACUGGAAAAAUCUCACCGAGCAACCUUAAGCUCUGAUACCACGUGAUAUGGGUGCGGGUGGCCCGAUCUUUCGAUGAGAUUGGUAACUCUCGAUUUGGGUAGGAGGUGACGUUGACGAUCCGACUACGGCCUAGGAGGCAGCGCCUUAGCAAUCGAUACACCAACUCCAGAGGGUUAUUGAUCACGCGGGGGCACGAUCAACCUGACCACGAAGGUCUUUGUUCCUGCAAGCAAUCGAAGAACAAGCAAGAACAAGAUAAAUAGCCGAUGCAAUCUGAAAUUGCGAAUAUACUAUAUCAAACCAAUGUCUCAACGAGACGAUAAGUUGGGGUUCCGAAAGCGGUAAAACAGGUGGUCUAACCGACACACGCGAUUACACGAAGUAGUAGCGAUGGCUAACUUUUAACUAAACAAAACCCAAGGCUCCUUAGGGGGGCUCAUGGGGUAUAUAAAGGAGGAGGAAGAGAUAUUUUCGUCCACCUUGAAUAAGGAGUCCGAAAUCCAACUCUAUCUCUAACUUUCCUAACAAACUACAACUCUUUAGGAAACAGAAAAACAGAUCCGUCAGUUGUUUUGUCCGCCACGGUCAGCACGAGUCGAAUCUCUUGAUGGGGCCAGAUCCGUUGGAAAGGUCUUGUAAUUACCUUUCCAACAAGUACUUGUUUGCUUGAUUUGGACUCCGGAUGCGGCCUGGGUGAUUAAAACAAAUUCGGGUCUCCUGACGGCUCGGACCCGAAUCGGAUUCAACUUUAAUUCGUGAUACCUUUCUCUAGCAAGCUCCGAAUCAUGUGCCGUUUGAUUUGUUGGAAAGUAGACUUGAUAGGCUUCACUUUGAAUCUCCCUUGGCAGGCUAUCACACUUCAUCUUCACUUUGGACUUGUAAAGUUCAAUAAGAUGCCUACAUAAUAAGAUUACACAAGAUAGUAGCUCCGCCUCUUUGCAAGUAACAUAUUGAAAACAUUUUGUAAUUGAAUUCACCUGAUUAUAAUUGUUAUUAGAUACACCAACAAUUAGGGUUCUAAUGGUUGUAUCCAUGGUUAGCAUGUCCAUAUCAACACCAAACAAAGCUACUUACCGAAGCGAAACAAGACUAGACCACUUGUACGGACUCGCUAGGGAUGGUCCCACACUGGGACAAAAAUUCCGGCCAAAUCGUAGUCGGUGCUAAACUUUGAUCCGGAACGUGUCCAUUUUAGGUACAAGCAUGAGCACACCAAACAAAGCUACUUACCGAAGCGAAACAAGACUAGACCACUUGUACGGACUCGCUAGGGAUUGUCCCACACAGGGACAAAAAUUCCGGCCAAAUCGUAGUCGGUGCUAAACUUUGAUCCGGAACGUGUCCAUUUUAGGUACUAGCAUGAGCACACCAAACAAAGCUACUUACCGAAGCGAAACAAGACUAGACCACUUGUACGGACUCGCUAGGCAUGGUCCCUCACUAGGACGGACAAUCCGGCCAAAUCGGAGUCGGUAUUAAACUUAGAUACGAAACGGGUCCAUUUUAGGUACUAGCAUGGGCACACCAAACAAAGCUACUCAUCGAAGCGAAACAAGACUAGACCACAUGUACGGACUCGCUAGGGAUGGAUCCACACUGGGACAAAAAUUCCGGCCUAAUCGUAGUCGGUGCUAAACUUUGAUCCGGAACGUGUCCAUUUUAGAUACUAGCAUGAGCACACCAAACAAAGCUACUUACCGAAGCGAAACAAGACUAGACCACUUGUACGGACUCGCUAGGGAUGGUCCCACACAAGGACAGACUAUCCGGCCAAAUCGGAGUCGGUGCUGAACUUUGAUCCGGAACGUGUCCAUUUUAGGUACUAGCAUGAGCACACCAAACAAAGCUACUCAUCGAAGCGAAACAAGACUAGACCACUUGUACGGACUCCCUAGGGAUGGUCCCACACUAGGACAGACAAUCCGGCCAAAUCGGAGUCGGUGUUAAACUUUUAUCCGGAACGUGUCCAUUUUAGGUAUAGACUCGCUAGGCAUGGUCCGUCACUAGGACGGACAAUCCGGCCAAAUCGCAGUCGGUGCUAAACUUUGUUCCGGAAAGGGUCCGUUUGGCGUUAUAAGAUGAGCACACCAAACAAAGCUACUCAUCGAAGCGAAACUAGACUAGACCACUUGUACAGACUCGCUAGGCAUGGUCCCUCACUAGGACGGACAAUCCGGCCAAAUCGGAGUCGGUGCUAAACUUUGAUCCGGAACAUGUUCGUUUUAGAUACUAGCAUGAGCACACUAAACAAAGCUACUCAUCGAAUCGAAACAAGACUAGACAACUUGUACAGACUUGCUAGCCAUGGUCCCUCACUAGGACGGACAAUCCGGCCAAAUCGCAGUCGGUGCUAAACUUUGAUCCGGAAAGGGUCCGUUUGGCGUUAUAAGAUGAGCACACCAAAAGAAGCUACUCAUCAAAGCGAAACAAUAGUAGCCCACUUGCAUAGACUCGCUAGGCAUGGUCCCUCACUAGGACGGACAAUCCGGCCAAAUCGCAGUCGGUGCUAAACUUUGAUCAGCACAGCAAACAAAGCUACUCAUUGAAGCGAAACAAGACUAGACCACUUUAACGGACUCGCUAGGGAUGGACCCACACUAGGACGGACAAUCCGGCCAAAUCGGAGUCUGUGCUAAACUUUGAUCCGGAACGUUUCCAUUUUAGGUACUAGCAUGAGCACACCAAACAAAGCUACUCAUCGAAGCGAAACAAGACUAGACCACUUGUCCAGACUCGCUCGGCAUGGUCCCUCACUAGGACGGACAAUCCGGCCAAAUCGCAGUUGGUGCUAAACUUUGAUCCGAAAAGGGUCCGUUCGGCGUUAUAAGAUGAGCACACCAAACAAAGCUACUCAUUGAAGCGAAACAAGACUAGACCACUUGUACAGACUCGCUAGGAAUGGUCCCUCACUAGGACGGACAAUCCGGCCAAAUCGCAGCCGGUGCUGAACUUUGAUCCGGAAAGGGUCCGUUUUGUGUUAUAAGAUGAGCACACCAAAGAAAGCUACUCACCGAAGCGAAACAACACUAGACCACUUGUCCAGACUCGCUCCGCAUGGUCCCUCACUAGGACGGACAAUCCGGCCAAAUCGCAGUCCGUGCUAAACUUUGAUCCGGAAAUGGUCCGUUUUGCGUUAUAAGAUGAGGACACCAAACAAAGCUACUCAUCGAAGCCAAACAAGACUAGACCACUUGAACGGACUCGCUAGGGAUGGUCCCACACUAGGACGGACAAUCGGGACAAAUCGGAGUCGGUGCUAAACUUUGAUCCGGAACGUGUCCAUUUUAUGUACUAGCAUGAGCACACCAAACAAAGCUACUUACCGAAGCGAAACAAGACUAGACCACUUGUACGGACUCGCUAGGGAUGGUCCCACACUGGGACAAAAAUUCCGGCCAAAUCGUUGUCGGUGCUAAACUUUGAUCCGGAACGUGUCCAUUUUAGGUACAAGCAUGAGCACACCAAACAAAGCUACUUACCGAAGCGAAACAAGACUAGAGCACUUGUCGGACUCGAUAGGCAUGGUCCCUCACUAGGACGGACAAUCCGGCCAAACUAGAGUCGGUGCUAAACUUUGAUAAGGAACGGGUCCGUUUGGCGUUAUAAGAUGAGCACACCAAACAAAGCUACUCAUCGAAGCAAAACAAGACUAGACCCGUUUAACGGACUCGCUAGGGAUGGACCCAGACUAGGACGGACAAUCCGGCCAAAUCUGAGUCGGUGCUAAACUUUGAUCCGGAACGUGUCCAUUUUAGCAACUAGCAUGAGCACACCAAACAAAGCAACUCAUCGAAGCAAAACAAGACUAGACCACUUGUCCAGACUCGCUCGGCAUGGUCCCUCACUAGGAUGGACAAUCCGGCCAAAUCGCAGUCGGUGCUAAACUUUGAUCCGAAAAGGGUCCGUUUGACGUUAUAAGAUGAGCACACCAAACAAAGCUACUCAUCGAAGCAAAACAAGACUAGACCACUUCUAUAGUCUCGCUAGGCAUGGUCCCUCACUAGGACGGACAAUCCGGCCAAAUCGCAGUCGGUGCUAAACUUUGAUCCGGAAAGGGUCCGUUUUGCGUUAUAAGAUGAGCACACCAAACAAAGCUACUCAUCGAAGCAAAACAAGGCUAGACCACUUGAACGGACUCGCUAGGGAUGGUCCCACACUAGGACGGACAAUCUGGCCAAAUCGGAGUCGGUGCUAAACUUUGAUCCGGAACGUGUCCAUUUUAGCAACUGGCUUGAGCACACCAAACAAAUUAGACCACUUGUAGAGACUCGAUAGGCAUGGUCCCUCACUAGGACGGACAAUCCGGCCAAACUAGAGUCGGUGCUAAACUUUGAUAAGGAACGGGUCCGUUUGGCGUUAUAAGAUUAGCACACCAAACAAAGCUACUCAUCGAAGCAAAACUAGACUAGACCCGUUUAACGGACUCGCUAGGGAUGGACCCAGACUAGGACGGACAAUCCGGCCAAAUCUGAGUCGGUGCUAAACUUUGAUCCGGAACGUGUCCAUUUUAGCAACUAGCAUAAGCACACCAAACAAAGCAACUCAUCGAAGCGAAACAAGACUAGACCACUUGUCCAGACUCGCUCGGCAUGGUCCCUCACUAGGACGGACAAUCCGGCCAAAUCGCAGUCGGUGCUAAACUUUGAUCCGAAAAGGGUCCGUUUGACGUUAUAAGAUGAGCACACCAAACAAAGCUACUCAUCGAAGCGAAACAAGACUAGACCACUUCUAUAGUCUCGCUAGGCAUGGUCCCUCACUAGGACGGACAAUCCGGCCAAAUCGCAGUCGGUGCUAAACUUUGAUCUGAAAAGUGUCCGUUUUGCGUUAUAAGAUGAGCACACCAAACAAAGCUACUCAUCGAAGCAAAACAAGACUAGACCACUUGAACGGACUCGCUAGGGAUGGUCCCACACUAGGACGGACAAUCUGGCCAAAUCGGAGUCGGUGCUAAACUUUGAUCCGGAACGUGUCCAUUUUAGCAACUGGCUUGAGCACACCAAACAAAUUAGACCACUUGUAGAGACUCGCUAGGCAUGGUCCCUCACUAGGAGGGACAAUCCGGCCAAAUCGGAGUCGGUGCUAAACUUUGAUCCGGAACGUGUCCAUUUUAGCAACUGGCUUGAGCACACCAAACAAAUUAGACCACUUGUAGAGACUCGCUAGGCAUGGUCCCUCACUAGGACGGACAAUCCGGCCAAAUCGGAGUCGGUGUUAAACUUUCAUACGGAACGGGUCCGUUUGGCAUUAUACGAUGAGCACACAAAACAAAGCUACACAUCGAAGCGAAACAAGACUAGACGACAUGUACAGACUCGCUAGGCAUGAUCCCUCACUAGGACGGACAAUCCGGCCAAAUCGGAGUCGGUGCUAAACUUUGAUCCGGAACGUGUCCGUUUUAGCUACUAGCAUGAGCGCAGUAAACAAAGCUACUCAUCGAAGCGAAACAAGAGUAGACAACUUGUACGGACUUUCUCUUUUUUUUUCUUUUUUUUUCUUCUUUCUUUCUUUUUUUUCUUUCCUUUCUUUUUUUUUUUCAACUUUCCAAACAACUUGAUCUCUAAACAAAAUUCGAUCUAUGAUGAAACACUUUCCAAAAGCACUCCUUAUUGGACUCGGACUCGAACUCGCGGCUGAAAACUAUUACUUGCCGACUCGAUGUAGAACUCGAAGAGGGACUCGGUGUAGGACUCGAUGAGGGACUCGGUGUAGGACUCAAAGAGGGACUCGGUUUAGGACUCAAAGAGGGACUCGGUGUAGGACUCGAAGAGGGACUCGGUGGAAGAUAUGGUGGCGGCGGGAGAUUAUGGCGGUGGUGUGGCAGGAAGUUUGGCGGCGGAAGAUUGAUGAAGGAAACCUGCGUCACACGAAGAACAAGAAAACCAAAAGCAAGUUCGAUCUAGUAGAAAAAAAUCUGAAAAACGAUCCAAUCUAAUCCAGCAACUCGACACGAUUAAUGCAGCAAAGAUUCAACAAUGCAAAUACUAAAGCGAAAAUUGCAAGGCUCAGAUUGGUUCUAGGACAAGGUAACUAAUUCUAAUUUUUAUUUGACUUUUUCUGGACGAUAGGUAAAAACAGAUCUAAACUACGGAUAAACUGGAAAAAUGUCACCGAGCAACCUUAAGCUCUGAUACCACUUGAUAAGGGUGCGGGUGGCCCGAUCUUUCGAUGAGAUUGGUAACUCUCGAUUUGGGUAGGAGGUGACGUUGACGAUCCGACUACGGCCUAGCAGGCAGCGCCUUAGCAAUCGAUACACCAACUCCAAAGGGUUAUUGAUCACGCGGGGGCACGAUCAACCUGACCACGAAGGUCUUUGUUCCUGCAAGCAAUCGAAGAACAAGCAAGAACAAGAUAAAUAGCGGAUGCAAUCUAAAAUUGCGAAUAUACUAUAUCAAACCAAUGUCUCAACGAGACGAUAAGUUGGGGUUCCGAAAGCGGUAAAACAGGUGGUCUAACCGACACACGCAAUUACUCGAAGUAGUAGCGAUGGCUAACUUUUAACUAAACAAAACCCAAGGCUCCUUAGGGGGGCUCAUGGGGUAUAUAAAGGAGGAGGGAGAGAUAUUUUCGUCCACCUUGAAUAAGGAGUCCGAAAUCCAACUCUAUCUCUAACUUUCCUAACAAACUACAACUCUUUAGGAAACAGAAAAACAGAUCCGUCAGCUUGUUUUGUCUGCCACGGUCAGCACGAGUCGAAUCUCUUGAUGGGGCCAGAUCAGUUGGAAAGGUCUUGUAAUUACCUUUCCAACAAGUACUUGUUUGCUUCAUUUGGACUACGGAUGCGGCCUGGGUGAUUAAAACAAAUUCGGGUCUCCUGACAGCUCGGACCCGAAUCGGAUUCAACUUUAAUUCGUGAUAUCUUUCUCUAGCAAGCUCCGAAUCAUGUGCCGUUUGAUUUGUUGGCUACGACCAACGACGAGGAUGCGACCCCAGUGACGACCCACUUCGAGAACAUGGAGAUAAACACCGUGGACUUGGAGUCUUGUCUCGAGCACGAGAUGACCAGGGCCGACCUCGCCGAGGAGCAGGUUGGUAACCUGAUGGGAGAGAAGACCCAGUGGCUGGAGGACAAGGCCGUGUUGGAGAACACUGUCCUCAAUAUGGGAGACGCCAUCGAGCAGCUGCAGUACGAGAGGGACCAGGCUCGCUACUACUGCGAGCAGUUCCAGGCGUUCAUCGCUGCAGCAGCCGCAGCAGCACCAGCUGCCGCACCGGCGCCAGACCAGGUCCCACCUCCACCACAGGAUCAGGAGAUGGAGGCUCAGGAGGAGGAGCCGACUGAAGAGGAGGAGCCCCAGGAGGUCCACGAGAUGGACACCCCUGCUACAAACACCCGCUCCAAGAUGAAGGCGAACAGGACCACACCGACAGCCACGCUCCCUUAGAUCUGUUGAUGCCUACCAGACUUUAUCUUUUCUUCUAGCUAUCGGUAGUGCGAGUUAGUCAUUGACCAUACAAUCUAUGUGUAUGGCAUGUAGGUCGAUUGCUUUCUCCUCGUACUCUUUUCUUUAUGGGCAAUGCCCCACCAUAAACAAGUGUGUUUUGUUAUGAUUUUUCAAAACCUUUUAUGUUGAUGAGUGUAUGAUUGAUAUAUGCUUGAGUUACUACCUGGUUUUGAGGGUUUAGUUAUCCUUAGCUCUAUUCUAUCUGUUUUCCUCAUCUAUGCUACCCUAAACAGAUGCCUCCGAGACGCCGGAACCCCGCCAACAACGCUGAGGCUAACAAUGCCGAAGCUGACGGAAACGCUGCCACCAUGCAACAGUUAUUGGCCGCUCAGACCCAAUUCUUCCAGAUGAUCACCCAGCAAUUGGCCAACAACAAUGCCAACCACCAGCAGAACCACAACAACCAGCAACACCACCCACCCCAAGUGGAUAUGCUGACCAGAUUCCUACGUUUGCGCCCGCCCACUUUUUCCAGCUCCACUGAGCCUAUUAUGGCUGACGAUUGGCUCCGGUCAGUCAACAAGAACUUGGUCACCAUCAACUGCACUGACGAAGAGAAAGUGCGAUUCGCAGCUCAUUUGCUAGAAGGACCCGCAGCGUCAUGGUGGGAAAACUUUCAGAUCACCACCCCCAUCGAGGAUGUCACGUGGGACAUGUUCCAGGAAGCCUUCCGUACCGCCCACAUCUCUGCGGGAGUGCUCAGCUUGAAAAAGAAAGAGUUUCACAGGCUACGACAAGGAAGCUGCUCAGUGUCGGAAUACAUGGAGGUAUUCAACCAACUGUCCCGCUAUGCACCGGAUGACGUGAACACCGAUGCCAAGCGCAGGGAGAAGUUUUUGGACGGUCUGAACGACGAGCUAUCAGUUCAACUUGCUAUUGCUUACACUCCCACCUACCAGUCUUUGAUUGACAAGGCCAUCAUUCUGGAGAGUAAGCUCACUCAGUUGGAAAACCGCAAGAAGAGAUUUCACCAAGGAGGCUCUCACACUGGCUCGCACCAGAAGCAGCGCACCUCCUAUGAUGGAAGUGGCAGUUCCUCCUUGAGUAGGAACGGGAACCAGGGCAACCACCGCAGUGGAGGUAAUAGCCACCACCACCGCCAGGGGAGCCAAGGAUACCACCGUCAGGGUAGCAAUGUGAACCGGCAUCAUCAGCAGCACCAGCAUCAGCAACAGCACCAGCACCAGUUCGCUCGCCCAAGGCCCAUCAAUGGCAACGGGAACGGCAAGAACAACGGCAAUGGCCAGAACAACAAUGGUCAGAACCACAAUGCCAAUAAGGACAUGAGCAAGGUGGAGUGCUACAAGUGUCACAAGAUGGGACACUAUGCCACCAACUGCCCGGACAACCAGGAUGGCGCUGGGAACAAGCCCAAUCCAUUCCAGAAGGGCCACGUGAAUCACGUGGAUGUGGAAGAGAUCACCGAGGAACCAGGUAUCAUACUUGGCACCUUCCACAUUAAUGCUUAUGAAGUACUUGUUCUAUUUGACACUGGAGCAUCGCAUUCAUUCAUUUCAAGAGUAUUGGUAGAAAGAGGCAAAUUACCCUCUGAGACCAUGAGUAGACCUAUGAAAGUAAACUCACCGGGUGGAAUAAUGCUAGCAACCCGACACUGUCGCCAGCUACCCCUAAGUAUUGGGAGACACAUUUUUCCCUCUGAUCUCAUAGUUAUAGAUUCCCGAGGACUGGACCUAAUCCUGGGGAUGGACUGGUUGACCUUAUAUGAAGGAUUAGUAGAUUGUGCCCAGAGGACUGUCACACUCAUUACCCCAGACAAGAGACGCAUCCGGUACAAGUCAACCCUUGAGCUUAAGAGACCCAAGGUUACUGCUCUUAAGGGGGUUAGCAUGGACGAAGUACCAAUAGUGAAGGAAUACCCAGACGUAUUUCCAGAGGAAUUACCAGGCAUGCCACCGGACCGUGAUGUGGAGUUCCUUAUUGAGUUAAUGCCAGGAAGUGGACCCAUAGCCAAGAGACCAUAUAAGAUGGCUGUGGACGAGUUGAAAGAAUUGAAGAAGCAGCUAGCUGAACAGUUAGCGAAAGGGUUCAUCCGCCCCAGUUCAUCACCCUGGGGAGCACCUGUCCUGUUUGUAGAAAAGAAGGACAAGAGUCAACGAAUGUGUAUUGAUUAUCGGUCACUAAACGAGGUGACGAUAAAGAAUAAGUAUCCUUUACCCAUAAUCAAUGACCUAUUCGACCAGUUGAAGGGAGCUCAAGUGUUCUCAAAGAUCGAUCUGCGAUUAGGGUAUUUUCAGCUGAAAAUCCGGGAGAUGGAUAUACCCAAGACAGCAUUCACCACUAGGUAUGGACUGUACGAGUACACCGUGAUGCCUUUUGGUUUGACCAAUGCACCUGCAUACUUCAUGAACAUGAUGAACAAGGUGUUCAUGGAAUUCUUGGACAAGUUCGUCGUAGUAUUCAUCGAUGGCAUACUGAUCUAUUCCAAGAGCAAAAAGGAACAUGAGCAUCAUUGUGAGCUGUUCACGGAUCACAAGAGCCUGAAAUAUAUAUUCACCCAGAAGGAGCUGAACCUGAGGCAGAGAAGAUGGUUAGAAUUGAUAAAGGAUUAUGACCUGAGUCUACAAUAUCAUCCAGGCAAGGCUAACGUCAUAGCCGAUGCAUUGAGCCGCAAGGGCUAUGUAAAUGGACUAACAGCUAGAGAGUUACCACCAGAGUUGUGCGAACAGUUCAAAGACCUCAGACUGGAGAUAGUACCUGAAGGUUAUUUAGCCACCUUGGAAGUACAGCCCACAUUGCUGGAUAGGAUUAGAGAAGCACAGAAGGAUGACUCAGAAAUUAAGAAAAUAAAAGAGCUUACUGGAAAGGCCAAAGAGUUUCGAGAAGACGACCAGGGUACCAUACGGUUCGGAAGACGCAUUUGCGUACCGCAAGAUCCGGAAAUCAGAAAGUUGAUUCUGCAAGAAGCCCACGAUUCACCAUACUCAAUCCACCCUGGAAACACAAAGAUGUACAUGGACCUCAAGGAAACAUUUUGGUGGUCCGGAUUGAAGCGUGACAUCGCAGAGUUCAUUGCCUUGUGCGAUGUGUGCAGUAGAGUUAAGGCAGAACACCAGAAGCCAGCAGGGUUACUGAGACCAUUGCCUAUACCGGACUGGAAAUGGGAUAAAGUCGGCAUGGACUUUAUCACCGGGCUACCAAGGACUAGAUCAGGAUAUGAUUCCAUUUGGGUAGUGGUUGACCGUUUGACCAAGGUUGCCCACUUCAUACCAGUGAAGACUACAUACACCAGUGCACAGUUAGCGAAACGCUACAUGUCCAGAAUAGUGUGUUUACACGGAGUACCCAAGGAAAUAGUUUCAAACAGAGGUACUCAAUUUACCUCAAGAUUUUGGGGACAACUACAUGAGUCUCUAGGAACGAGACUAGAAUUCAGUACAGCCUUUCAUCCGCAGACGGAUGGACAGACCGAGAGAGUAAAUCAGAUCCUUGAAGAUAUGUUGAGAGCUUGCGCUCUAGAUUAUGGGUCUAGUUGGGAUGACAAUUUGCCUUAUGCAGAAUUCUCAUACAACAACAGUUUCCAAGCCAGCAUUGGAAUGUCACCGUUUGAAGCUUUGUAUGGAAGGAAAUGCAGAACACCAUUGUUAUGGGAUGGUGUAGGAGAUCGUAGCCUAUUCGGCCCGGAUAUGAUCAAGGAUGCCGAGGAAAAAGUUAGACUCAUCCGAGACCGGCUGAAAGUAGCCCAGUCAAGGUAGAAAAGCUACGCAGAUUCUAAACGUAGGGAAAUCAUCUACGAGUGAUAUGGACAUGCUAACCAUGGAUACGACCAUUAGAACCCUAAUUGUUGGUGUCUCUAAUAAUUAUAAUCAGGUGAAUUCAAUUACAAAAUGUUUUCAAUAUGUUACUUGCAAAGAGGCGGAGCUACUAUCUUGUGUAAUCUUAUUAUGUAGGCAUCUUAUUGAACUUUACAAGUCCAAAGUGAAGAUGAAGUGUUAUAGCCUGCAAAGGGAGAUUCAAAGUGAAGCCUAUCAAGUCUACUUUCCAACAAAUCAAACGGCACAUGAUUCGGAGCUUGCUAGAGAAAGAUAUCACGAAUUAAAGUUGAAUCCGAUUCGGGUCCGAGCUGUCAGGAGACCCGAAUUUGUUUUAAUCACCCAGACCGCAUCCGGAGUCCAAAUCAAGCAAACAAGUACUUGUUGGAAAGGUAAUUACAAGACCUUUCCAACGGAUCUGGCCCCAUCAAGAGAUUCGACUCGUGCUGACCGUGGCGGACAAAACAAGCUGACGGAUCUGUUUUUCUGUUUCCUAAAGAGUUGUAGUUUGUUAGGGAAGUUAGAGAUAGAGUUGGAUUUCGGCCUCCUUACUCAAGGUGGACGAAAAUAUCUCUCCCUCCUCCUAUUUAUACCCCAUGAGCCCCCCCAUGGAGCCUGGGGUUUUGUUUAGUUAAAAGUUAGCCAUCGCUACUACUUCGUGUAAUCGCGUGUGUCGGUUAGACCACCUGUUUUACCGCUUUCGGAACCCCAACUUAUCGUCUCGUUGAGACAUUGGUUUGAUAUAGUAUAUUCGCAAUUUUAGAUUGCAUCCGCUAUUUAUCUUGUUCUUCGAUUGCUUGCAGGAACAAAGACCUUCGUGGUCAGGUUGAUCGUGCCCCCGCGUGAUCAAUAACCCUCUGGAGUUGGUGUAUCGAUUGCUAAGGCGCUGCCUGCUAGGCCGUAGUCGGAUCGUCAACGUCACCUCCUACCCAAAUCGAGAGUUAUCAAUCUCAUCGAAAGAUCGGGCCACCCGCACCCGUAUCAACGAGGCUGAAGACAGAGCGUAUCUCAGAGUUUCACCGAUACGCGGGGUAAAGAGAUUUGGUAUAAAAGGGAAACUAGCACCCCGUUUCAUUGGACCUUUCAAGAUCUUGUCGCGACAAGGAGAGGUAGCCUACAAGUUGGAUUUGCCGGAAACACUGUCCAAUGUCCACAACGUCUUCCACGUAUCGCAACUGAAGAAGUGUCACCCCGAGAUGGCCGACACACCCCUGAGGGAUACGAUACCUCUAGAAGAAGUCCAAUUGCAGAGUGACCUCACAUAUGAGGAGAAACCGAUCAGGAUAUUGGACACAGCUGAGAGGCAGACCCGAUCCAAGACGUGAUGUGGGUCGGGGUGGCCCGAUCUUUCGAUGAGAUUGAUAACUCUCGAUUUGGGUAGGAGGUGACGUUGACGAUCCGACUACGGCCUAGGAGGCAGCGCCUUAGCAAUCGAUACACCAACUCCAGAGGGUUAUUGAUCACGCGGGGGCACGAUCAACCUGACCACGAAGGUCUUUGUUCCUGCAAGCAAUCGAAGAACAAGCCAGAACAAGAUAAAUAGCAGAUGCAAUCUAAAAUUGCGAAUAUACUAUAUCAAACCAAUGUCUCAACGAGACGAUAAGUUGGAGUCUUGAUGACGGUAAAACAGGUGGUCUAACCGACACAC